GGAGAAGUGGGUGAGUGGCUGAAACCAGGUCUUUGCUAAAGACCCGUAGUUCCAAAAGAGCUACCGUGGGUUCAAAUCCCACCUUCUCCG
rnacentral:tRNA from 1 species